UGGGGAAUCUUCCGCAAUGGACGAAAGUCUGACGGAGCAACGCCGCGUGAGUGAAGAAGGUUUUCGGAUCGUAAAACUCUGUCUUUUGGGGCGAACGUGAGUAUGGUGAACAAUUAUAGUCAGUGACGGUACCAAAGGAGGAAGCCACGGCUAACUACGUGCCAGCAGCCGCGGUAAUACGUAGGUGGCAAGCGUUGUCCGGAAUUAUUGGGCGUAAAGAGCGCGUAGGCGGGAUAGUCAGUCUGUUGUAAAAGUGCGGGGCUCAACCCCGUGAUGGCAAUGGAAACAGCUAUUCUUGAGUGCAGGAGAGGAAAGUGGAAUUCCCAGUGUAGCGGUGAAAUGCGUAGAUAUUGGGAGGAACACCAGUGGCGAAGGCGACUUUCUGGACUGUGUCUGACGCUGAGGCGCGAAAGCCAGGGGAGCGAACGGGAUUAGAUACCCCGGUAGUCCUGGCCGUAAACGAUGGGUACUAGGUGUGGGAGGUAUCGACCCCUUCCGUGCCGGAGUUAACGCAAUAAGUACCCCGCCUGGGGAGUACGGUCGCAAGA
rnacentral:rRNA from 1 species